GCCUGGGUGGCUCAGUCGGUUAAGCGUCUGACUUCGGCUCAGGUCAUGAUCUCACGGUUUGUGGGUUCGAGCCCCGCAUUGGGCU
rnacentral:tRNA from 1 species